rnacentral:rRNA from 1 species
UACAGAGGGGGCAAGCGUUAUUCGGAAUUAUUGGGCGUAAAGGGCGCGUAGGCGGCUUUUCAAGUGGCGGGUGAAAUCCCUCGGCUUAACCGAGGAACUGCCUGCCAGACUGGAAGGCUUGAGACCGGGAGAGGUGAGUGGAAUUCCCAGUGUAGCGGUGAAAUGCGUAGAUAUUGGGAGGAACACCAGUGGCGAAGGCGGCUCACUGGACCGGAACUGACGCUGAGGCGCGAAAGCAUGGGGAGCAAACAGG